rnacentral:rRNA from 1 species
AGUGAACGCUGGCGGUAGGCCUAACACAUGCAAGUCGAACGGCAGCACAGUAAGAGCUUGCUCUUACGGGUGGCGAGUGGCGGACGGGUGAGGAAUACAUCGGAAUCUACUUUUUCGUGGGGGAUAACGUAGGGAAACUUACGCUAAUACCGCAUACGACCUACGGGUGAAAGCAGGGGAUCUUCUGACCUUGCGCGAUAGAAUGAGCCGAUGUCGGAUUAGCUAGUUGGCGGGGUAAAGGCCCACCAAGGCGACGAUCCGUAGCUGGUCUGAGAGGAUGAUCAGCCACACUGGAACUGAGACACGGUCCAGACUACUACGGGAGGCAGCAGUGGGGAAUAUUGGACAAUGGGCGCAAGUCUGAUCCAGCCAUACCGCGUGGGUGAAGAAGGCCUUCGGGUUGUAAAGCCCUUUUGUUGGGAAAGAAAAGCAGCAGGUUAAUACCCCGCUGUUCUGACGGUACCCAAAGAAUAAGCACCGGCUAACUUCGUG